rnacentral:rRNA from 1 species
UGGGGAAUAUUGGACAAUGGGCGAAAGCCUGAUCCAGCCAUGCCGCGUGUGUGAAGAAGGUCUUCGGAUUGUAAAGCACUUUAAGUUGGGAGGAAGGGCAUUAACCUAAUACGUUAGUGUUUUGACGUUACCGACAGAAUAAGCACCGGCUAACUCUGUGCCAGCAGCCGCGGUAAUACAGAGGGUGCAAGCGUUAAUCGGAAUUACUGGGCGUAAAGCGCGCGUAGGUGGUUUGUUAAUUUGGAUGUGAAAUCCCCGGGCUCAACCUGGGAACUGCAUUCAAAACUGACUGACUAGAGUAUGGUAGAGGGUGGUGGAAUUUCCUGUGUAGCGGUGAAAUGCGUAGAUAUAGGAAGGAACACCAGUGGCGAAGGCGACCACCUAGACUAAUACUGACACUGAGGUGCGAAAGCGUGGGGAGCAAACA